ensembl:snRNA U6 U6 spliceosomal RNA
GUGCAGCAGCACAUAUGCUAAAACUGGAAUGAUACAGAGAUUAGCAUGGCCCCUGCACAAAGAUAACAUGCAAAUUCAAGCAGCAUUUCACAUUUGC